rnacentral:lncRNA from 1 species
GGAGGGAGGCUGAGGAGCCCGAGAGCUCUGCGCCGGUCCCGCGCCCUGUCACCGCGUCUCCGAGCGCUCUGGUCUCGGGAACUGCGGGCUCCGCUGGGCGCCCGCGGCCCUCCUCCGGCGACGCUGAUUGGCGAUGGCUUAGGCUCCGCCCUAAAGGGGCGUGACCGCGCGCUUAGCCAGGUGUGCUAGGAUGGUCCUGGUCCUCGAGCCAUCAAAGGACCAGGAGCCAGGACCAACCUCAGCCUACGGCUGGUGGCGCACGUACGAGGCACUGUCAGAAUCCCUGCUGAUGGAAGGGCCCAGGUGGGCCUGUGGCAGACAUCUUAGAAUCCCACCAAUGUCAAGGCUUGAGUAUCGCAACGGCUGCAAGUUCGAGCCCAGCCCAGGCUAAAUAGAGCCUGUCAAAAAUAAUAAGUCAUGAUGUAAAUAAAUAGGUGAGGUAGCCUGUUUGUAAUACCAGCUCUUGGGAAGCUAAAGGAAAUGUGUUUGGUUACGUACCUGGACAAGGAACUUAGGUGCAUAUUUUACAUACCAAAGCAGACUUGGCCUCCAGGUUUCCCCAGCAUCCAUUUAGUCCCUAUCUGGCAUUCCCUGCCCCCAACCUUGAAAUUUGCAGCCCGGGUUUUGGGCUGCCCUUCCCCCCAGAGGCUCCUCCCUAUAUAAUCCAGACGUUUUCUCAGGCUCCUCUCUGCCCAAUUGCCCUUUCUUUUUUUUUCUCUCUCUCCCUCCCUCGCCCAACCCUUCCCCGUGACAACUCCUGAGGCCAGUGAACUAGCCUGCCUGAGAGCAGCUUCCCAAUAAACCUGCCUUUAAUAGAAUCUAA